AUCAUCACGUGAAUUUGCGAGACCUCAUGGGUCAUCGUCACUUCAGCACGCAGCCGCUUUGCAACAAAUUCGGAACUAGUGGGUAUUGGAGGACGGCUGAGUGCGGAGCCGUAACGCAGCGGAGCCGAUCUGCAGCCGCUCCGCAGUUGGUGGAAAUCCAGUGUGAGAUAAAAAAUAAAGCACUUUAAUUUAAAUGAUUUUACCAUGUGUGAUUUAUGCAUGUGCGUGCACGGGUCGGGUAACGGGCCAAAUAUUAACAAGUCUGGGCUGGUGUGGAUUUAAUUUUGAUAUUAUCAUGGGUGACGGGUCGGAUCUCCAAAAAAUAUUACCCAUGAUUCUCAGACAUAUUGACAAGGUGAGUUUGUAUUGAACUUUUUAACAUGUCUGUUUUGUAACUGUUGUUUUGACCUUUCCUUUGACGGCAAAAGUUAUGUGCUGAACAUUUCACUUAGCUAAGUUUUGCCAAUUCUUGUAGCUUCACCGUGAGAGCAGAGAGCAUGUGGAGCAUCAUUAACCUUCAAAAAGGUUAUGCAAUCUUUAGCAUUAGUUACAAGAUCUAAAGUACAUAGUGCUAUUGUUAACCCUAAACUGUAUUAAGAACAAAACAUCCUGAAAUAUCCGUUCCUUGUGAUAUUACAAGAUUACAGUGUGUACGGUAACAGCUGCUUCUUUUAUGGAUAAAUGACAAUUCGAGUGUGAUCUUAUCCAACAGGUGAUUUGCUGAGACACAAAAAUGGAGGAAAUCACUUAAAUCUUACUUCAUUUAGCCUUCAAUUGCAGCCAUAACAGAACUACUAAAAGUCUGUCACAGGAGCUCAAUGUGUAGAGAGAAGGAUGAAGAAUCGCUGACAUUUAUUUUCCAUAUUCCUCAGCAAACAUGAAAAAGAGCAUGUGAGAGAGAGAGAGAGAGAGACAGAGCAAAACCUUUGGUCAGGUGUUUUUGUGUUUGGGCAUAUGUGUAAACCGAGGAGGGGCUUCACCGGAACAACAAAUUCUAUUUCAAGGGAGCUUCAUCAGCACAAAAUGUUUUGUCUUGCAGUCUGUCAGAGGUCAUAUUAUGUAGACACAAACACACACACAGUUGACUCAACAUCUGUUUGGGUUAAGUGGACGACUCUUACAGUCUGGGUUUCCUGCAGCUUGAAACUCUCCUAAGCCAUUUUUCCCUGUUAAACCAUCAAACGCACACACAGUCUUACAUACUCACAUGAGAUGUUUCUGCCCGUAAUAUUGAAAGAUAUCUCACACUGCUUCCUAUUUCAUCAUUCUUAAAGAAAAGACAUAUAAGUACAGUAUAAGUGCACCUAACAGCAGACUCAACUGACUUUAUUUCGUCCUUUGUUUUUUUCUCUCUUUCUUCACAGUUACACGUCUGCACAAGGAAGCUUGUAAACCUUAAGUUACCCAUUAGUUAUUGAUAUUCUUCUUUGAACAUAGUCAAUAAGGGCCCAUUGACUUCCAUAGUAUUCUUUUUACCUACAAUGGACGUCAAUGGGGCCUCUGAGCAGUUAUAUCUUCCUUCAUGUUCAUCACAAAAAAUUAAUGGAUACAGGUUUAUAACAGCAUGAGAAUCGUGCCCUCUUCACCAAGCCCCCGUUCCCAUAGAAACAGAGAACAGCUGUUCUGUCAGGCCAGGUGUGUUUGAGUGACGGGGUCAUGUUUUGCUGUCCCAGGAGUGGACUGGAAGGAGAAUCCCGCUGUCUUUUGAUCUUCAGUUGUAUGUCAUGUACCUUUAUUGAUGAUGCUCACAGGUGAAUGGCGCGGUCACAGAGGGGCAGUGCAGAAGAAGAGAGGAAAUUAAAUCAGCAGGACAGACAGGUUUAGGGCAGAAGCAACGAGUGCCAAGUGCAAACUCAUUUAAUUGUAAGUGUGUGGGCUGUUGUCCCCUGAUGCCCGGCCCAGGCCAAC